rnacentral:rRNA from 1 species
GUCUAAGUACAUGCCGUAUUAAGGCGAAACCGCGAAUGGCUCAUUAAAUCAGUUAUGGUUCCUUGGAUCGUACCUUACUACUUGGAUAACUGUGGCAAUUCUAGAGCUAAUACAUGCAGCAGGGCUCCGACCUUCGUGGACGAGCGCUUUUAUUAGACCAAAACCGAUCGGACUUUGUCCGUCUCUUGUGGUGACUCUGUAUAACUUUGGGCUGAUCGCACGGGCCCGUCCCGGCGACGUAUCUUUCAAGUGUCUGCCUUAUCAACUUUCGAUGGUAGGUUACGCGCCUACCAUGGUCGUAACGGGUAACGGGGAAUCAGGGUUCGAUUCCGGAGAGGGAGCCUGAGAAACGGCUACCACAUCCAAGGAAGGCAGCAGGCGCGCAAAUUACCCACUCCCAGAACGGGGAGGUAGUGACGAAAAAUAACGAUACGGGACUCUUUUGAGACCCCGUAAUUGGAAUGAGUACACUCUAAACCCUUUAACGAUGAUCCAUCGGAGGGCAAGUCUGGUGCCAGCCGCCGCGGUAACUCCAGCUCCGAUAGCGUAUAUUAAAGUUGUUGCGGUUAAAAAGCUCGUAGUUGGAUCUCAGUUCCAGAUGGGUGGUCCUCCAACCGGGGGUUACUGCCUUUUCUGAACAGCCAGCCGGUUUCUCUUGAUGAUCUUCACCGGUUGUCUUGGGUGACCGGCAAGUUUACUUUGAAAAAACUAGAGUGCUCAAAGCAGGCGUGACGCCUGAAUAAUGGUGCAUGGAAUAAUGGAAUAGGACCUCAGUUCUAUUUUGUUGGUUUUCGGAACACGAGGUAAUGAUUAAGAGGGACAGACGGGGGCAUUCGUAUUGCGACGCUAGAGGUGAAAUUCUUGGACCGUCGCAAGACGAACUACUGCGAAAGCAUUUGCCAAGAAUGUUUCCAUUAAUCAAGAACGAAAGUUAGAGGUUCGAAGGCGAUCAGAUACCGCCCUAGUUCUAACCAUAAACGAUGCCAGCCAGCGAUCCGGCUGUGUUCCUCAAAUGACACGCCGGGCAGCUUCCGGGAAACCAAAGCCUUUGGGUUCCGGGGGAAGUAUGGUUGCAAAGCUGAAACUUAAAGGAAUUGACGGAAGGGCACCACCAGGAAUGGAGCCUGCGGCUUAAUUUGACUCAACACGGGAAAACUUACCCGGCCCGGACACAGGAAGGAUUGACAGAUUAAGAGCUCUUUCUUGAUUCUGUGGGUGGUGGUGCAUGGCCGUUCUUAGUUGGUGGAGCGAUUUGUCUGGUUAAUUCCGAUAACGAACGAGACUCUAGCCUACUAAAUAGACGUU